AUUGAACGCUGGCGGCAUGCCUUACACAUGCAAGUCGAACGGCAGCGCGGGGCAACCUGGCGGCGAGUGGCGAACGGGUGAGUAAUAUAUCGGAACAUACCCUAGAGUGGGGAUAACGUAGCGAAAGUUACGCUAAUACCGCAUACGCACUAAGGUGGAAAGUGGGGGAUCUUCGGACCUCAUGCUCAUGGAGUGGCCGAUAUCUGAUUAGCUAGUUGGUGAGGUAAAGGCUCACCAAGGCGACGAUCAGUAGCUGGUUUGAGAGAACGACCAGCCACACUGGAACUGAGACACGGUCCAGACUCCUACGGAGGCAGCAGUGGG
rnacentral:rRNA from 1 species